AGUGUUGUAACGUACUGACUUGGCCCAAAACAAUAAACCCACUGCUCAAGUCCUCUGGAUUGAGGCGCCAUGGAGGGUGAAAGCCCCGUGUGAAGCAGUGUUUUGGUUGUUGUUACAGGGUCAAGCUCAAAGAGUCGAGUUGUUUGGGAUUGCAACUUAAAGUUGGUGGUAAGCUCCACCUAAGGCUAAAUAUAGACACGAAACCGAUAGCGAACAAGUACCGUGAGGGAAAGUUGAAAAGCACUUUGAAAAGAGAGUCAAAAGUACGUGAAACCGUUAACGGGGAAGCAGAAGGGCGUGUCGAGACGCGUAGUUUUUGGUCAUGCAAAUGAUUGCAAAUUAUGCGUGCGUCAGAUCACCCGGUCGCUGAUCAAUCUGGUUUUUUUGCUGCAAACUUUACCAAGCAGCAGGCAACUGCCCGUCUGGUAAAGUUUGCUGAAAAUUAAAUACAUGCCAAGAUUUUGAGAUUUGAGGCUGGGUAAAAGUGAUGCCAGGCGUUUGGUUCCUUAUAAGAGGGAGAUUUAGCAAGAGCCAGUCUGGGGGCAGCAGCGUUACCGCCGCCGUUUCAAGACUACUUUUGUUAAAUGACUAACGCCAGUAUCUGACGAGAUACCCAACUUUCUGACCCGUCUUGAAACACGGACCAAGGAGGCAGAAGCCACAGCGAGUCAUAGGGUGGAAAACCCGCAGGCAAAGUGAAAGCAACAGGUACGAUGGAGGUGUGUUUGUUGGUUGCUGGUGUCAAAUCCAAGCAGCCAACAUCUUCCCGCAUUACCGGCCGUUUGGAGUGUAAAAAUCUAAAUGAGUUUGAGCUGUGGCUGCUGGACCCGAAAGAUGGUGAACUAUGCGUGAGCAGGGUGAAGCCAGAGGAAACUCUGGUGGAGGCUCGAAGCGAUUCUGACGUGCAAAUCGAUCGUUAGACUUGCGUAUAGGGGCGAUAGACUAAUCGAACCAUCUAGUAGCUGGUUCCCUUUGAAAUAUCCCUCAGGAUCGCUGAGACUAUAAAAUAAACACAAAAAGGUAGUUUCACCGGGUAGAGCUAAUGAUUAGAGGAAUCGGGGAAAGAUUACACUCGACCUAUUCUCAAACUAUCAAUCGGUGAUAGGCCUGUCAUUUACACUUAACUGAAUGAUGGUCGUGAAUACCAAGUCUCAAGUGGGCCAUUUUUGGUAAGCAGAAUUGGCGAUGCGGGAUGAACCGAAAGUUAAGCUAAGGUGCCAAAGAGUACGUCAACAGACACCACAAAAGGAGUCGGUCGAUAUAGACAGCAGGACGGUGGCCCUGAAAGUAGGAAUCCGCUAAGGAGUGUCUAACAACUCACCUGCCGAAUCGACGGGCCCUGAAAAUGGAUGGCGCUAAAGCGUACCACCGAUGCUUGACCGUCACGGCAGAAAAAAUGUGACCGUGCCGGGUAAAAGGGCGCGGCGGUAGCAAUAAAGUAUACAGCGUGAGCGUAUAUGGAGCUGCCGUCGGUGUAGAUCUUGGUGAUAGUAGCAACAAAAUAAAAGUGAGAACCUUUUAGGCCGAAGUGGAGAAGGGUUCCACGUUAACAGCAAUUGGACGUGGGUUAGUCGGUCCUAAGCCAUCACCUAACGGUUUGUAAUGGCGGACUAUUAAGGCUGCUAGUUGCGACGAAGCGCUGACGUUUGCCAGCGCUUCGCCAAUGCUGCUAGUGGUUAAUGUCCGAGUGUGGCGAAAGGGAAUCCGGUUAAUAUUCCGGAACCAGAUGGGGAAAUGCUGCUUUUCGCCAACGAGACUGGUUAGCAAUAAUUAUGUUUCGUUGUGUCGGAUUGCAGUGUAGCGGUAACGCAAACAAUCUCGGAGACGUCGAUAUUUGUGGCAGGGAGAGUUUUCUUUUCUGUAUAACAGGCAAUUUAAAAAGUGGACCUUGGAAUCGAGUCAUUCGGAGAAAAGGUCAAACGCCUGGAAGAGCAUUGCAGUUAAAGCAAUGUCUGCUCAACAAGUACCGGCCCUUGAAAAUCCGAGGGAGUGAUUGAAUUUCCUAUCUGUCCGUACCGAAACCGCAUCUGGUCUCCUAGGUGAGCAGCCUCUGGCACUGGAAGAAUGUGGGUAAGGGAAGUCGGCAAAAUAGAUCCGUAACCUCGGGAAAAGGAUUGGCUCUAAGGACCGGGUGGAUCGAGCUAGUAUAAUCUUGACGGACGAACGGGAAACGGUCACCAUGAUCCAUUUAUUUGGGUCUUGGUGAUUGCGAACCGAUUGAAAGCCUUGGUUUGCCUGUGUGAUGGUGGAUGCAUGAGUUCGCUUGUGUACGCUGCUUUCUUUACGUGAAACGAGAAUCGGUCAGCUUAGAACUGUUACUAACAUGGGGAAUCCGACUGUUUAAUUAAAACAAAGCAUUGCGAUGGCCGUAACCGGUGUUGACGCAAUGUGAAUUCUGCCCAGUGCUCUGAAUGUCAAAGUGCGGAGACGCAACCAAGCACGGGUAAACGGCGGGAGUAACUAUGACUCUCUCAAGAUAGCCAAAUGCCUCGUCAUCUAAUUAGUGGCGCGCAUGAAUGGAUCAACGAGAUUCCCACUGUCCCUACCUACCAUCCAGCGAAAUCACAGUCAAGGGAACGGGCUUGACUGAGACAGCGGGGAAAGAAGACCCUGUUGAGCUUGACUCUAGUUUGAUUUUGUGAGAAGACAUAAGGGGUGUAGAAUAAGUGGGAGGUGGAAUUAAAGUAACAACGUUAAUGGCUCUUUUUGGGGCUGUUAGCGUUGUUGCUCCGCCGACGGUGAAAUACCACUACCUUUAUCGUUUUCACACUUAUUCGGUUAUAAGGGAUAGGCGUUUAUGGUAUAGGUCCAAAGCCAUGCCGUAAACGCUGAUUUUGUUGUGACAAGACACGAAUAAUUUUGUUGUGUUGACCCGUAUUGCUGUUGGCUGCUGUUGUGGGGCGCUGCAGCAAUGUAGUGUUUUGCAGCGGUGGUCUGCAGCCCAUCCGAUGACAGAAUCAGAUGGGGAGUUUGACUGGGGCGGUACAUCCUUUAAAAUGCAACGAGGAUGUCCUAAGGCGAGCUCAUCGUGGACAGAAACCACGAGUAGAGCAAAAGGGCAAAAGCUCGCUUGAUUCCGAUUUUCAGUACGAAUACGAACCGCGAAAGCGUGGCCUAUCGAUCCUCUAAUAAUAAUUCCAGAGCUUGGAGUUAGAGGUGUCAGAAAAGUUACCACAGGGAUAACUGGCUUGUGGCGGCCAAGCGUUCAUAGCGACGUCGCUUUUUGAUCCUUCGAUGUCGGCUCUUCCUAACAUUGGGUAGCAGCAUGCCCAAAGUGUUGGAUUGUUCACCCACCAACAGGGAACGUGAG
rnacentral:rRNA from 1 species